GGCUGAGACACGUCUGGCCACCGUUGGUGAAGUUGCAGAUGACCUGGAUGGUGUCUGAGGAACAGCCAAGGUUUGGGUCAAUCCAGAAGCUGCUCCCCCCUGUUAGACAGUCCCUUUAAUGCUGGGAGGUCACAAUGAGCUGUCCCAGAGGCUCUGCACAGAGACAUCAGGAGGGAGGGAGCAGGCUGAGGACAUGUGAAGGACACCACCAGCUCUGGGAAUGCCAAGAGGAGCUGACAGGAAACCAUUAAAGGAUGCUGAGCAGCCACAGCAGAUGAUGGGUGCCAAGCCUCCAGCAUCACCCACAUGAUUUACACUUGUGACAGGAGGACAGAGGAGUCCUCACUCAUGAAAGCAUCAGAAAUCAGACCCUCCCAGCUCUACAGCAGCUCACUGUGGGACCUGGUAUCAGCACCUGAAGCACAAUAACACAUUAUGGCAUAAAAAUUUGGAGAGGGAAUAGUGGAACCACUCACAAAACUUUACUGUCAAAACAAGAUGUGGCUGAAUAAAGAGACAACUGGGGUUUUUAAUCA